rnacentral:rRNA from 1 species
CCCCUAGAGGAGCCUGUUCUAUAAUCGAUAAUCCACGAUCUACCUCACCAUCUCUUGCCAAUACCGCCUAUAUACCGCCGUCACCAGCCUACCCUAUGAAGGAUAUAAAAGUAGGCAAAAUCGCACAACAGCUAACAAGUCAGGUCAAGGUGUAGCUUACUGAGAUGGAAGAAAUGGGCUACAUUUUCUAAACUAGAAAUCAUUUCACGGAAAGAACUAUGAGACAAGUUCUAUAAGCAGGAUUUAGCAGUAAAUAGGGAUCAGAAUGCCCAAUUUAAGCCGGUCCUAAGGUACGC